UACGGAGGGUGCGAGCGUUGUCCGGAAUCACUGGGCGUAAAGGGCGCGUAGGCGGCCUGAUAAGUAGGGGGUGAAAUCCUGCGGCUUAACCGCAGGGCUGCCUUCUAAACUGUCAGGCUGGAGCACAGUAGAGGCAGGUGGAAUUCCUGGUGUAGCGGUGAAAUGCGCAGAUAUCAGGAGGAACACCGGUGGCGAAGGCGGGUCUCUGGGCCGUAACUGACGCUGAGGAGCGAAAGCGUGGGGAGCGAACAGG
rnacentral:rRNA from 1 species